rnacentral:rRNA from 1 species
AUGUUGAACUUCAAGGACGGUGAAUUCAGAUGCCUCAAGUACCUUGUUGUUGAGGACUCGGCCUUGACUAAAAUCACUUUUGAGAAGGGAGCAGCAUGUGAGCUCGAGAACAUGGUUUUGUCUUUCACCAGUGCAUGUUCUAUUUCUGGAGUUGGCUGGCUUCCUAAAUUGAAAGAUCUUAAAUUGAACGACAGCUUCUGUGGUUGUUUGAUAUCAUCAUUUGACAAUGCCGCGAAACUAGCCAAGCUGUCUCUUUGUGGUACAUUGCUAGAGCAAGAUGCUCUACAACUGCUCACCAAGAAACCAAAUAUACGUUGUCUUGUGCUCUUGGACAAGUCUUUUGGUGGAACACAGAAUGAGAUUACAUUAGAAAAUGAUGAGUUCUUAUGGCUGAACCUCCUUGUUGUUGACUGUUCCGCCAUCACCAAGAUUGUCUUCAACAGCGGUUCUGCUCCUAGGCUCGAGAAGAUUGUCUGGUCAUCUUCCACAUCUCUCUCUGGCAUCGACAAACUUCCAAGAUUGAAGGAGCUCGAGUUCAAUGGUGACCAAGUCCCUGAUGAGGUGAUGGAGGCCAUUAAAAACCACAAAAACAAUCCUAGUCUUAAACUCAAUGGACCAGAAACUCAAGACUAA